CUACGGGAGGCAGCAGUGGGGAAUAUUGCACAAUGGGCGCAAGCCUGAUGCAGCCAUGCCGCGUGUAUGAAGAAGGCCUUCGGGUUGUAAAGUACUUUCAGCGGGGAGGAAGGGAGUAAAGUUAAAACCUUUGCUCAUUGACGUUACCCGCAGAAGAAGCACCGGCAAACUCCGUGCCAGCAGCCGCGGUAAUACGGAGGGUGCAAGCGUUAAUCGGAAUUACUGGGCGUAAAGCGCACGCAGGCGGUUUGUUAAGUCAGAUGUGAAAUCCCCGGGCUCAACCUGGGAACUGCAUCUGAUACUGGCAAGCUUGAGUCUCGUAGAGGGGGGUAGAAUUCCAGGUGUAGCGGUGAAAUGCGUAGAGAUCUGGAGGAAUACCGGUGGCGAAGGCGGCCCCCUGGACGAAGACUGACGCUCAGGUGCGAAAGCAUGGGGAGCAAACAGGAUUAGAUACCCUCGUAGUC
rnacentral:rRNA from 1 species